rnacentral:rRNA from 1 species
CACCGGCGUCCUUAGUGGGAAUCACUUAUUAGGUCUAAAGCGCUCGUAGUCGGCUUUGUAAAUUUCUUGUGAAAUCGUGUCGCUUAACGGCACGGCGUGCAGGAAACACUGCAGAGCUUGGGACUGGGAGGCGUCAGAAGUAUUCCUUAGGGAGCGGUAAAAUGUGAUAAUCUAAGGAGGACUACCUGUGGCGAAGGCGUCUGACGAGAACAGGUUCGACGAUCAGGAGCGAAGGCUAGGGGAGCAAACC